CAGGAAGCGCAUCAGGAGGGACGGUGGGGUGCCCUCUGCCAACAUUGCUUACGGUUGUACCCAACUGGCACAUUUGCCCUGGGAGGUGGGGGUGGGGAGGCUUCUUUCCAGUGACCUGGGAGUCCUCUGACAGGAUCCCUCCACCAGCCUCUUCGGAGUGCUGGUCCUCUACCAAGAAGGCGUCCAGAGACCCACAUAGAAGUCUGCCUGCAGCCUGUCCAAUCAAGCCCUCCCAGGUUCCUUGACCCUGGAAAAAGUGAGUAGGGGCCGUCCUGCCCACUUCCGCAGCAGGGUGUCCUAUGCUUACAGAAGGACACCUGCAGACCAUACAAGUUCAGGGAGAGCUGAGUUUGUGGAUGGUACCUUUCCUGUUUUUCACAUGACUGAGAGGAACCAAACCCAGCCACUCCAGCUCCUGACUCAGAAUGUCCUCAGAAUGAGGGACCAGGGCACCCAGAGACCCGACUUCAUCUGCAGGACAGCGAGUGUCCAUCUGUGACUGACCACUGACUCUCAGCAAGACAGGCCAGUGAUUGCAAGUCCCUUAAAUUUUCCAGAGAAGCCAGAAACACAGAUUCGUACGUGAAAUCCCUUGAGUUCUAAAUGUUAAUUACCAAUUCCAGGCUCUCAGAGGCUCUAUGGAGACCGAGCCAAUCAAGUCUGCAGACUGCUGGGAGCCAACGCACACCUGCAUCCGACCUUCCUACCUCCCCAGGCUGCCACCCCUCCCUGCUGUUCCAUGCCACAGACUCAGCAUACUGGGUGCAGCCUGCAGUGCCCUCUGUGGGGGAAUCAGUGGAUGACAGGGACACCUCAGAGGGCAAAUUACUGUGCCAGCUGCCAUCCUGCUCACCAAGACAAAGACGGCAUGGAAAUACCCAGGGUGACUGUCACGCAGAGAGAGGCCGGGGUCACGAAGCUGACAUCUCUCCAAGCAACAGCUAGCUGCUGGGCUUCUGCAUUUCCAACCUGACCGGACACAGUGGCAUCCAGGGCAAUAACACUGGGUAGGAGACAAUGUUUCCUUUAAUCGGAGUCACACCUAAGGAGGCUAUUUCUAGAAACUUCAUAACUUUCCUCAAUUGCCCAAACGAUUCCAAGUCGUUUUUUCCAAAACAAGUCUUGUUCCUUAAAAACU
rnacentral:lncRNA from 1 species